CCUACGGGUGGCAGCAGUGAGGAAUAUUGGUCAAUGGACGCAAGUCUGAACCAGCCAUGCCGCGUGCAGGAAGACGGCGCGAUGAGGUGUAAACUGCUUUUGUAAGAGGGUAAACGCAGAUACGCGUAUCUGUCUGAAAGUAUCGUACGAAUAAGGAUCGGCUACCUCCGGGCCAGCAGCCGCGGUAAUACGGAGGAGUCAAGCGUUAUCCGGAUUGAUUGGGUUUAAAGGGUGCGUAGGCGGUCGGAUAAGUUAGAGGUGAAAGCCCGAGGCGCCACUUCGGAAUUGCCUCUGAUACUGUUCGGCUAGAGCGUAGUUGCGGUAGGCGGAAUGUCUGGUGUAGCGG
rnacentral:rRNA from 1 species